UGCUUUAUCGCCUUAUCGGGUGCCGUAGGUUAAGGCUCUCCCCUGUUUUCAUUCUGACUGUAGUUAGUCGAGUUCUAGUCGGCCCCGGGCUCGGUCUGUGUUUUUUGUGUUUGAAAUUUGAACUAAAUUCGAGGUGAAGAACUUGCUUUCACGUAGAAUUUCAACUACGAAAAAUAUACGAGAAAGCAAACUUGAAUCUUCAAACUAAGUUAUUUGUUUCCAACAUUUAAUACGCGCCGUUUCCGACAUCUGAAAAUAGAAAAACAUAGAGGCUCCGGGCUCGGUCUGUGUUUUUUGUGUUUGAAAUUGUAACAAAAUUUGAGGAAAAAUCGCCUGAACGAAAAACAAGUGGAGAAAAAAUGCACGUUGACGGGGACACAAAGGGAGCCACUUGGUUACCGCCUCAGACAUCGACGGAGCAGCAAAAGCAGUUAAAACAAGACGCAGAGUUUUUUCUACUCUGGAAAAAUUUGGCUCAUUACACACUCAUACAUAUUGUCUACGAUGAAGGCCGUUUUCUCCUCUGAGCUCUCAUCCAUUUCAAUUUGCCAAUAUCCUGACGCUAAAUCUAGAGUCGAAAAAUAUUUUUGACCGUGAGCAAAUCGAGGACAUCAUCUAUUCGAGGUAACGGAAAAGAAUCCUUUUUCAUAAUACCGUUGAGUUUCCUAUAAUCCAUGCAGAGCCGGAUUCAUCCAUUUUUCUUUUUUACUAAUACUACUGGUGCCGCCCAUGGUGACACGGAGGAUCUUAUUAAUUUAUCAGCCAACAAUUCCAGAAUGAUACCGUCAAGCUCGUGCUUCUCGUUGUGAUGUAUCCGAUAGGGGCAUAAUCGAAUGGGCCCUUGUCCUUCUGUAUUAAUGUGGUGCUUUACUAACCCGGUCUUUCCUAGUUCCUCAGUUGAAGAUGCAAAUAUUGAUUUUGUAACAGUUGGUUACAGGAAGUAAAGACACGUACUCAGUGUAUGGGAGAACAACUUGUAUUGGGUAAGACACAGAUGUAAAUGUUACAUACAGUAACAGUUGUGGCAUACAGUCCUGCGGAGUCUUGGGUAGACUCCGCUUAAAUAGCAGUGUGAUGCUGAUGUGGCUGUGCCUACAAGGCACCGACUGGAGGUCAGUUUCCAGACGAUCCAGAUAGAAGAUGUUUCAGAAUAUGAUGUGACCAAAUCGCUGCAAAACAGUGCAUCAAUUUUGGACGACACACCAAAACUAAGCACGGUCCGCACAAAUGGAUGUUAAUAGCAGACCCCGAGGAAAACCCACUUACCCCAUUAAUGAUAAAAAACGUCGAUAAAAAUGAAUGCCUUACAACAGACAACAAUAACAACACAAUUUACUUAGCAUCCUGCAAUGCAAGCGCAUAUCAAUAUUACAUAUUUGAACACAUCCUCCCAGAAAACAGCUACUUCUAAUUCAAUUUGGCACAGGAAGCAACCAUUUCAGCAGACGGAUUCCUAGAAUUAAGAUCCAGUACUUUGUUAGCAGGAAGAUAUUUAAACCCCAGAAAGUGUAGCAGAGUCUCAGCAAGUGGAAGGACGCUCAUUCUGCAACAGUGCGUCACCAUCCCAGUAAAAAUCGAAGCGCGCCUAACCCAGUGUGGAUAUCAACCAUUCUUCCAGACACCUAACGCGAACUUCACAGUUGGCAAAGACGGUUGGUCUCUCCAUCCAUUUCAGGAUUGUUUUUGGAACAACAAAUAAGUUACUUUAAAUGACAUAACUUUUUCAUGGAUCAACGAUGAAUGGAUUAAAUAAGAACCAUCCAUUCACGUUGCAAAAAUAAAAUGAAUUCAAAAAUUUGAAGAAUUACCGAUCAAAGCAUACGAUUAUUUGCCGCAACAUCAUUCGAUGUAUGACGCAAACAAUCUAGAACAAAUGAACGUCCUAUCCGAACUCAUCGGUAGAAUUUCUAUGUCUAAUACUAACUCCUUAUCAGGUUUAGUACUACAUAACAAGUCCCGUUCAAAUUUCUGGGACAUGACUAGCUGGAUAGAAGUAAUAAAAUACGGAUUUCUCGCAUUAAUAAUAUUUUUACUGUCAACAAUCGUAUUAUGGAUAUGUUUUACUGUUGUCCCCUUUUAUAACAUUUUUGCUCUAUGUAAGAGAAAACGGAACCACGUUAAGACUGAACAAGAAAUUCCGUUAACUCAAAGAAAGUCUAGAAAAUCACGCUCUCAUCGUACAACAAAAAUGGACCCUGAAGAAGGUCUCUGUUGGGACGAUGGAUGUGUAAUCCAAAAGAUGGAAUCGUAAAAAUAAUUAAUGAAAACCGCAACCUCUUGUGAUGAUUGGAUCACAAUAUGCACUCACACUGAAGUUACACUUAUACUGAACUAACACUAACACAUAAACACUGAGUAGGUUAUAAGGAAACUUGUAUUUACCACUUGUUAGGGAGUACACUGCCGGGAUCACUCUGCCGGGAUGAGGCAGAGCGUGGGCUUUUAUACUUAGGGUUAGUUAUUGCAACAUAGGUACAGACACGUAUACAGUUGCACCAUCACCAGGAUGUGGUGGUGCAAGAAGAGAAAGAUGUUUGCCGGAUGGCGCAAUUGGCAUUGCAUCAUCCGAAGCAACCUAAGUAUCAAGGCUGAAAGCGCCUGCCUUGUCAUAAAAGGCUGACGGCUUUCACCUUGAGAGGCAAGGCUCCUGCCUCGCUACACUCUCGACCACCCACAUCCUUUAAAAUUUUUUGUCUUAAAUAGUCUUUAAGUAGAAAAUUAUUACAAAAUUUUCAAAUUUACAUUAUGUGACAAACAAAAAUCCAUUAAAUGUUCAAGGCUAUAUAUUGACUACACAAAUUCAAAUUGCUGUCCCUGUAGAAAAUGGCCAUUCCUCCAACUGCCAUUUAACCCGACGCACCUCUAUCAAAUCUUCAAACGGAUAUUGAAGCUGCUCCAUAAACAGUUCCGCAGUUCGAUCAUAAGGAUAGAAAAUAUCUUUGCCUGACUCCAUCCACCAUAGUAAUCUUGAACAACCGAAUGGAUAAAAAUUUCGAUAAAAGGCAUAGCUUUUGUAUCGACCAAAAAAACAUUUUACUUAAACAUGCAACUAACAAUAAAAUAAUAUUAUGUCUAAAAAUUUGUGAAAUGCUUACUGGUAAUAAUAAUCGUUGACAUGCACCACACUAAAAUGGUGCCGACAAGCCGGAUACAACAUCCCCGGGUCGACAGCGUCGAAACCUUCGAGGAACAGCACGCGAUGUCUAUCCUCUAACUUGCCCCAAAAGUUAUAACCCUGAAGAGCCGAAAGAGCGACAGAAAUACCACUGUCCACUUUGAGUUUUUGUUCCAAUAAAAUCUCUGGAGACAUCCAAAACCAACCUGACGGCGUAACUGGCAUGUUGCAGGAUUUAAAGACGAACAACAACUGAUCUUCACCUGCAAGCCGUUUCUUCUUUAAAAAGGGAAUGAAGGAGAAGAUGCACCCUAGCAACCAUAUAUCUAUGCCUAGUAUAAUUGUAGUAAAAAUGUAGAUGCAUAUUCUUCUGGUAAAGGAAAUUUAUGGGCAAAUUAAAAAAGAAAUAAAUAAAUAUUCUGUUGUGAUGAUUCACAAUAGUUCUCAAUAAACAAACAACGAGGAGGAGGCAGUGUUCUUGCAGUACUGUGUAUUAAAGUAGAUGUCGGGAUACAAUGCCGGGUACGACUCUGCUGGAUGAACAGAGUGUCGGGCUUUUAUAGACGGUUACCAAGGUUGUGGGGAUUGCACCAUCACUGCAGAGUGUGGCGCAAUCCCGGAUGUAGUUGCAUAGUUAACAGGUGAGAUGGUGCAAUAGAGAAACGCAUCAAGGUACUGCGUAGUAGAUUGACCUUGGGGUACUGCGUAGUAGAUUGCUCUAUACUACAAGCAGUAGGCCGAAUGUUACACAAGAAAUUACACUCCUCCCCCUUCCGCAGAAGUUUGGUCGGGGAAGGAAACUAUUUCUUUUAGUAUCAAUACAUACAAGGAAAUUUUCGAAUGCUGCUAAUUCUACUAUUUAAGUGUAUCUAGGUAUGAUAAAGUUGGAUACAGUGGAAAAUAUAAUGCCAUCACCUUAGGAUAAAUGUGAAUAAUAUUGGGGAUAAUACUGCAAUAAUAAAACAUUGCAUAAUAAUUUGAAUAGAAUAUAGGCAUAUGGAAUGCAUAAUAAUGUGAAUCGCAUAUAGGCAUAUGGAAUGCAUAAUAAUUUGAAUAAACAUAAGAAUUAAAAUGCGGCAGUAUAGUAGGAUGUCAAUGGAAUGGUUUAUUCAGUACUUACGAUUUGUGAAUACAUCCCGAGCCCGUUUCAAUUUUAGAGCCUGGAAUUCAUAUUUAUAAUAUAAAUCAAGGCUGUCUCGCAGAUACUGCUGGAUCAGUACCUCCCGCUGAGCGUUGUGCUCCCCUUCACUUUGUAACAUAAUUGGUGGGGCGUACAUGUUUUGGAAGUGUUGGGGUGGAUAAUAACAUGGAGGGGACGGUAAUGGGAUCCUCUCCAUUGGGGCCGAAUCUGGUUGUUCCUUUGUCGGCGGCUGUGGUGUUUGAUGAUUUAUGGGCGAGGCGGCUAACGGGACUGCACUGGGGACGUCUGGGUUUACCUCCGUGAUGUCGCUUCGUAUGUCGUCCUUGUCGUCCUCGUCGUCGCUGAUUGUAAGGUCGAUGAUGAGGGUCUGUUGGUUGGUCUGCUGCUUGGUAUGCUGGUCGGUCGUGACGUUUUCUUUUUCUAAAUCUUCAUCCAAUUCUAGGACGGGCUCGUCGUCUUCCAUCUCCUCUCCCCGUUCUUCUUCACUGUCAGUGGGCUCUUCCUUUAUUGGUUCAAUCACAAACCCUACCGACUCUUCGAUGCCCGGUAGAUAACGGGGGUCUGUUGUGAUUUCUACUUGUGCUUCGUUGUCGGAGAUUAUUCUUGCUGGAAUUCGUCUGAUUUUCGCUUGCACGUCUAGAACUACAAUUGUUCCUUUUCGGCCUUGAGCCGUAAGGGCAAAAGUCUUUUUUAGCACUGUUGAUUCUUCACACAUUGUAAACUAAAUUGUGAGUGUGGUACAGUGCGGUUUUCGCUGUUUUUAAAUACCACGGCUCUCUUUAUCUUGCAAAACAGGUCAAAAGAUAAUGCGCAAUACACGCGCAAACAUAAACACAAUUUCGUAGUGAAAACAUAUAUACAUGAUUUAUGUGGAUAGCUGGUUAAUUUGUUGGUAACGCGCUGGUACUGCGUUCGAGGAUUUUACCGGCUUCCAUUUCUAAAAUUUUCUUCUUAAGGAGUGGUUAAUGGGCGAACGGAGUUUUAUACGAAGGAAGAACGAUUGUAGCUCCAUUUGUCACAAUAUGGUGCUUGAUAGCUGUGGGUUUUCCAAGAUCCAGUAAUGUACUGGCAAACAUUGAAGUGAAUGAUAUCAACAGGUUUAAAAAUUUAACAUCCAGUGGUUUUCUUUAAUGACAUAUUUUUAUGUCAAAAUCUAGGUGAGGUUGAUCGACGAUACGAUAAAGUGGAAAUGAUUUUUUAGUGAUCCGGUUAAGCUCGAUUGUCUUUCCAUCCUGAUGAGUACCGAUUCUCAUUUCUUUGUUGAAAACAUCCAAAGAGAUUUCGUUGUUGUGUAAAAAGUCUAUUCCGAGGAUACACUCCUCCUCUAGUUUAGGUAUUACAUAGAAGACUUGAUUUAGUGUACACUCAGGUGAAAGUUUCACUCUUAAAUUAUACAUGCUUGUGAUUCGCCUGGUUUCACCACUUGCGCUAUUCUGAAGACUCGAUCCUUGAUGUUGACGAUAUCGGGAUUGAUUGAUUCGUCGGGGAUGGUAGCUAGGUACUCAUCAGAAAUAAAGCUGGCAGAAGCUCCGGUAUCGAUUAAUGCAAAUUUAAUAAUGUUAUGGAAUACUACUGGGACACGUAAAAGACUAUAAGAUUUGUGUUUGUAAUUUAUUUCGCGGGUCGACGCAGUCGUUUUGGGUCUUUUUCGAAGUGUUCAAAAUUUUCACAGCGAUGGCAUUCAAUAUUUUGAGGGUCGUUAUUCCUGCUGUUGGAACGCGAAGAUGCGCCUGGUGUAUUUGGUUUAUUGGCAGGGCUUUUGGGGCGUUGAUUGUAUUUUUGUUGUGGUGCCUGUGGCUGUGGUUGGUAGUAUCAGUGGAAGAGUUUGGAUAUUGUCGGUCUCUGCUUUGGGAGCGGUAUCGUUGCUCGGAGUUUGGGUAAUUGUUGGUGUUGUGGGACCAACGGACGGCAGUGUUGGGCUGGUUACGUUGUGGUGGUCUUCCGCGUUGAUUGGGUCCCAUGUAGAAGAUGGUGUAAUCUGUAGUUUCUGGUGACUCUCCUAUAAAAUUUAUUUUACUUAGUUUGGAUUAUGGAUUGUAAUUCCUCUAUUUGUUUGUGUUGUUGUUGUAGGGCCGUGGCUGCUAGGGUAUCAAUAUUGGAACUGGUGAAGGUGGGUAGUUCUAGUACUCCAUUGCUUGUUUGCGUUUUGUACAGAGUAGUCUCACAUCGCAAUGCCGCUCUUUGUGCGUCAUCCCAAGUGGUGACUUCUGGUAACAUUUGGUUCAAAACCAUAAGAGUCUUUAUUGGUUUCAGGACUCCUCGUAGGAGAAUUUUGACGAGUAAAUCAUUCUUGAUUGAUAAAUUGUAAUUACCCGUGUCGCCGUAGAUAGCGUUGUAUGUGCUGUUUAUCUUGUCGAUAAACAUUGUAACGGAUGGUUACGGAGGGUUAAAGAUGAUGAACUAAGAUGACGAUUGUAGGAGAAUGCACUUUGAAUUUAGAGUACUAGCAAUAACAUGCUUACACGUUAAUACAUGAGAUGCGAAUGGUAUACAAUGCGUGUGCGAACUCUGAUGGAGUCGUGCUUAUAUACCUACGAAUGUGGGCAGGUUAUAACUGGCAGCUUUCUAUGAUAUUAGAAAGUCUAAGAUCUUAUAGCCUAGACACGCGAUCAUGUCGUUAAAGAUGAAUUAGUUAUCAGUACCGAGGCUGAGCUCGUUCUUGAUACUAAUCGCCUUAUGGCGAUUGCUCCCAUUACAUUCCUUCCCUUUUUAAAGAAGAAUGAUAACUAUGAUAGGGGUAACAACAGAAUAUUUUUUUUUAAAUUUGCCCAUAGUUUUCCUUUACCAGAAGAAUAUGCAUCUACAUUUUUACUAUAAUUAUACUAGGCAUAGAUAUAUGGUUGCUAGGGUGCAUCUUCUCCUUCCUUCCCUUUUUAAAGAAGAAACUGCUUGCAGGUGAAGAUCAGUUGUUGUUCGUCUUUAAUUCCUGCAACAUGUCAGUUACGCCGUCCAGUUGGUUUUCGAUGUCGCCAGAAAUUUUAUUGGAGAAAAAGCUCCAAGUUGACAGUGGGCUUUUUGUGGCUCUUUCGGCUCUCGAGGGUCAUAACUUUUGGGGAAAGUUAAAGGAUAGGCAUCGUGUGCUGUUCCUGGAAGGUUUUGACGCUGUCGAACCGGGGAUGCUGUAUCUGGCUUGUCGGCAUCAUUUCAGUGCGGUGCACGUCAAUGAUUUUUAUUAUAAGUAAGAAUUUUACAAUUUUGUAUGCAUAAUAUGAUUUAAUUGUUAGUUUUUUGUUUAAUUAUUGUUUUUUUUUAGUCGAUACAAAGGUUAUGCUUUUUAUCGGAACUUUUAUCCAUUUGGGUGUUCAAGACUAUUGUGGUGGAUGGAAUCGGGAAAGGAUAUUUUCUAUCCUUUUAACGGGAAUGCGGAAUUGUAUAUGGAGCAGCUUCAAUAUCCAUUUGACGAUUUGAUAGAGGUGCGUCGCGUUAAAUGGCAGUUGGAGGAAUGGCUUGUUAAUAAUUGAUUUUUAUUUCAUUUAGAAUACUGAAUGGGGUAUCUUAUUUUGUGUGAGCCAAUUUGAAUUUGUGUAGUCAAUAAAUAGUUUUGAAUUUUUAAUGGAUUUUUGUUUUGUGUUAUUUAUUUAUUUAUCUAUUUUUUUUUAGUGUAAUUUUGAAAGUUUUUAAUAAUUUUCUACUUAAAGACUAUUUAAGACAAAAAUUUUCAAGAAUGUGGGUGGUAAAAAGAAUGCGGUUGUCUUUAAUUAUUUUUACGAUUCCAUCUUUUGGAUAACACAUCCAUCGUCCCAACAGAGACCUUUUUCAGGGUCCAUAUUUUUUGUACGAUGAGAGUGUGAUUUUCUAGAUUUUCUUUGAGUUAACGGAAUUUCUUGUUCAGUCUGAACGUGUUUCCGUUUCCUCUUACAUAGAGCAGAAAUUUUAUAAAAGGGAACAACAGUAAGACAUAUCCAUAAUACUAGUGUUGAUAGUAGAAAUAUUAUUAAUGCGAGAAAUCCGUACUUUAUUAUUUCAAUCCAGCUAGUCAUGUCCCAGAAAUUGGAACGUGACUUGUCAUCUAGUACUAACCCUGAUAAGGAGUUAUUAUUAGACAUAGAAAUUCUACCGAUGAGUUCGGAUUGUUCCGUUCAUUUGUUCUAGAUUGUUUGCGUCAUACAUCGAAUGAUGUUGCGCAAAUAAUCGUAUGCUUUAAUUGGCAAUUCCUCAAAUUUUUGAAUUAAUUUGAUUUUGGCAACGUGAAUUGAUGGUUCUUGUUUAACCCAUUCGUCGUCGAUCCAUGAAAAAGUUAUUUCAUUUAAAGUUACAUAUUUGUUGUUCCAAAAACAAUCUUGAAAAGGAUGGAGGGACCAACCGUCUUUGCCAACUGUGAAGUUUGCGUUUGGUGUCUGGAAAAACGGUUGAUAUCCGCACUGGGUGAGACGUGCUUCGAUUUUAACUGGGAUGGUCAUGCACUGUUGUAGAAUAAGUGUCCUUCCGCUUCCUGAGACUCUACUACACUUUCCGAGGUUUAAAGAUCUUCCUGCUAACAGAAUUUGUCUGAGUGUUUGUUUGUCUGAGCCAAAAUCAUUGCCUGGUUUCUUUGUAGUGUAGUGAUUCUGCAGUAAAGUUGACGUACUUCAUUAGCCAGUUGUGUUUCGUGUUUUAUCGCUUGUGCUCCCACGAAUUGUUGAUUUUCUAUUGAGAGAAUUUCACGGUCUUCGUUUGAUAGCUUAAGCACAUUUGGCGCGUCGCUACUUAUUGGUUGAGUUUGGUUUUGUGGGAAUAGUCCUGUGUUUUGUUGUGUUCUUGUUUCAAUAAUUUUUGGUUUUCGUCUGUUUACUCUGUCUGAUCGGUCUCGUUUUUGUUUGAGCUCUUUUAUUGUUGGAAUGUAUUCUAAGGGGAAAGGGUAAGUGAUGACGUUGUGUUGAAAGUCCCACUGUUGGUUUUUAUUCGUUGAUUUGCAUGGUGCCAUUUCGAUUGUUGAAUCGUUGAUUACUGUUAGACAUUUUAAGGUUGAGCUGUCUGUUAAUGUGAAUAGGCCUAAAUCGUAGUUCCAUUUAGCUGCUGCUAUGUUUGAAUCUGAGCAAAUUACUGUUAUUAGAGGUGUAACGCAAGAAGUUGUACCUAGCAGGGUAAGCGUUUUAUUGUAAUAAGAAAAUUCUUGCUGUGGGUAAACAGUUUUAAAAAUACUUGUUUUACAUAAUUUAAUUGUUAUACUGUUAUCUUCCAAGCUGGAUAGACAGUAUUCAGGAAAUAAACGAGAAAAUAUGUUGCCGUAAAAUUGUGGUGCGUGCCCAAAUGGGUUAUUGAGCGUAUUGCAUCUGAAUUCUAAGAAUCCGUUUGCUGAAAUGGUUGUUUCCUGUGCCAAAUUUAAUUCGAAAUAGCUGUUUUCUGGGAGGAUGUGUUCAAAUAUAUAAUAUUGAUAUGCGCUUGCAUUGCAUGGUGCUAGGUAGAUUGUGUUAUUGUUGUUGUCUGUUGUAAGGCAUUCAUUUUUAUCUACGUUUAUAAUCAUUAAUGGGGUAAUCGGGUUUUCUUCGGGGUCUGCUGUUAGCAUCCAUUUGUGCGGACCGUGCUUAGUUGUGGUAUGUCGUCCAAAAUCGAUGAAUUGUUUUGCGGCGAUUUGGUCGGGUUCCCAUGCGUGGAGACAGUAGUCUUCUUCCGUAGCCAGAAUGUAGCCUGACUCCAGAAAUUGAAAACUUUGUCCGCGAUCCACAGUAUUUGCAUACAGGGCACGAUCAGUAAGAUUUCCUGAAAUUGCACAAAUUUCAGCGGACAUUUUUGUAAUCUCAACUCUUUCAACUCUUUUCUGAAAUGAUUUCGAUGUGGGUGUCUGGUAUUCCCAUUACUGUAAAUGCCGUUACAUUGUUGCAUAGUCGCGUGAUGUUGUUGUUCAAAAUUAUUUCUAUUUGCGAGUUGGCAUCUUGUAAUUUGGAUUGUUUAAUUCCGUCAGUGAGGUUACCACUUCCCGUAAAAAUAGUUUUGAUGUCGCAGUCUGGCUCCUGACUUGAGUCUGGCUUUUUCCAUACGAUUGUUAAAUCGUUAUGUUUGGCGAAUUCUGCGUCGCUUGAAUUGGCUAAAAUUCCAAAUGGUGAUGUUACUUAACAGUCGUGGCAUUGUUUAGUCAGUUUGAUAAUUUGUGUGAUGCAGCUCUUUGCUUUGUAUGAUUGAGUGGUCAUCCAAUAUCCUUCGCCUUCUGGUUCUAGUAAGGAUUUAAGCGUAUUUCCAUCUUUUGUCAUUGGAUUUGUGUCACUUAUUUCCGGGUACUGUGCAGACGCCCAGCAAUCAUUGGCGCUGACUUUAAGCACUUGUUUCUUAAAAGUUGUGUCAUGUGACAACAAAAAGUUUGUGGAGAUUUCUUUUUGAGACAGCCAUUGUGUGCAAGCGUAGCCUGUCCAUGUUAUGGGGUCCUUGUUUUUCGUCCAUAAUUUAUAUUGUACUUUCUUUGGUUUACUUACAGGUUCUGGGUGGGAACAGUAUAGUGGAUCUUCUAGAUCGAUGAUACCUUUUUCGAUUGGCUGAGAACAAUUACACGUGUCGAUUGUUAGGGUAGAUGAAAGAGAUGCGAAGAGUAGAAUUAGUAGAACGGAAGAAUACAUCUGUAAAGAGAAUGUAAUUCUUAUUGUGGUAAACGUAUUGUUUUUCGCAAAUUAUAAGUAUGAGGAGUAGGGAUUAUGGUAGAGUUAGGUGCUGUAGGAUUCUUUCGUGGCCUACCCCUUCUUCGUUUUAUCAUACCCUGAGGCUCCUCAGGUAACACUACUGGGGUUGUUAUCUCAUUUGUUUCUGCUGGUGCUGUUUGAAUUACGUUUUCGACAGUGGUUUCGGUGUUUUGUUGUACUUCUGUGUUGGCACCAUUUAUGGGUUCAACUGCGUCACUUGCGUUGGCUAUAGUAGGUUGGUGGCCAGCAGUUGCAUUAUUUUCAUUGUUUUCAGGAUCGUUUGUUGAUGAUUUUGCAGUAUUUUCUCUUUCUGGCGUUGAAGGUGUUGUAGUGGUUGGUUCUUCUUUGUCGGUGUUUGAGUUCUCGGUCUCGGUGUCUGAAUUUUCGUUGUUAAAUGUUGUUUCACCUCUCCACUUUCGCAUUCUGUUUACGUGUACAACUACCGGAUACGUAUCGUCUUGGUGGCGUAUUAAAUAGUUUAGGUUAGACAGUUUUUCAAUGACUACAUAUGGUCCGUUCCAUCUCAUUUUGAAUUUACCUUUUUGAGCCUUUAAUAUCUUUAAAAGCACUACGUCGUUUGGCUCGAAAGAACAUUCUUGGAGGUUACGGUCGUAGU
rnacentral:lncRNA from 1 species